UUUGAGCAUGUGUAAUGGCAUGAAUGCGUUAAGCUGUUGUUUUAGUGUUCUUUUGAUGAGUUUGGCUUGUUGUUAUGAAAAGUGUUUGUUUUGGCGAGUUUGAACGGUUUUUGAGCAUGUGUAAUGGCAUGAAUGUGUUGAAUUAGUAAUCCCUUGUGUUAAGCUGUUGUUUUAGUGUUCUUUUGAUGAGUUUGGCUUGUUAUGAAAAGUUUUUGUUUUGGCCAGUUUGAACGUUUUUGAGCAUGUGUAAUGGCAUGAAUGCGUUAAGCUGUUGUUUUAGUGUUCUUUUGAUGAGUUUGGCUUGUUAUGAAAAGUUUUUGUUUUGGCCAGUUUGAACGUUUUUGAGCAUGUGUAAUGGCAUGAAUGCGUUAAGCUGUUGUUUUAGUGUUCUUUUGAUGAGUUUGGCUUGUUGUUAUGAAAAGUGUUUGUUUUGGUGAGUUUGAACGUUUUUGAGCAUGUGUAAUGGCAUGAAUGCGUUAAGCUGUUGUUUUAGUGUUCUUUUGAUGAGUUUGGCUUGUUGUUAUGAAAAGUUUUGUUUUGGCCAGUUUGAACGUUUUUGAGCAUGUGUAAUGGCAUGAAUGCGUUAAGCUGUUGUUUUAGUGUUCUUUUGAUGAGUUUGGCUUGUUGUUAUGAACAUUGUUCGUUUUGGCAGUUUGAACGUUUUUUAGCAUGUGUAAUGGCAUGAAUUGUUGAAUUAGUAAUCCCUGUGUAAGCCGUUGUUUUAGUGUUCUUUUGAUGAGUUUGGCUUGUUGUUAUGAAAAGUGUUUGUUUUGGUGAGUUUGAACGUUUUUGAGCAUGUGUAAUGGCAUGAAUGCGUUAAGCUGUUGUUUUAGUGUUCUUUUGAUGAGUUUGGCUUGUUGUUAUGAAAAGUUUUUGUUUUGGCCAGUUUGAACGUUUUUGAGCAUGUGUAAUGGCAUGAAUGCGUUAAGCUGUUGUUUUAGUGUUCUUUUGAUGAGUUUGGCUUGUUUGAAAAGUUUUGUUUUGGCCAGUUUGAACGUUUUUGAGCAUGUGUAAUGGCAUGAAUGCGUUAAGCUGUUGUUUUAGUGUUCUUUUGAUGAGUUUGGCUUGUUGUUAUGAAAAGUUUUUGUUUUGGCCAGUUUGAACGUUUUUGAGCAUGUGUAAUGGCAUGAAUGCGUUAAGCUGUUGUUUUAGUGUUCUUUUGAUGAGUUUGGCUUGUUGUUAUGAACAUUGUUCGUUUUGGCCAGUUUGAAGGUUUUUUAGCAUGUGUAAUGGCAUGAAUGUUGAAUUAGUAAUCCCUUGUUAAGCUGUUGUUUUAGUGUUCUUUUGAUGAGUUUGGCUUGUUGUUAUGAAAAGUGUUUGUUUUGGCGAGUUUGAACAUUUUUGAGCAUGUGUAAUGGCAUGAAUGCGUUAAGCUGUUGUUUUAGUGUUCUUUUGAUGAGUUUGGCUUGUUGUUAUGAAAAGUGUUUGUUUUGGCGAGUUUGAAGGUUUUUGAGCAUGUGUAAUGGCAUGAAUGCGUUAAGCUGUUGUUUUAGUGUUCUUUUGAUGAGUUUGGCUUGUUGUUAUGAACAUUGUUCGUUUUGGCCAGUUUGAAGGUUUUUGAGCAUGUGUAAUGGCAUGAAUGCGUUAAGCUGUUGUUUUAGUGUUCUUUUGAUGAGUUUGGCUUGUUGUUAUGAAAAGUGUUUGUUUUGGCGAGUUUGAACGUUUUUGAGCAUGUGUAAUGGCAUGAAUGCGUUAAGCUGUUGUUUUAGUGUUCUUUUGAUGAGUUUGGCUUGUUGUUAUGAAAAGUGUUUGUUUUGGCGAGUUUGAACGUUUUUGAGCAUGUGUAAUGGCAUGAAUGUGUUGAAUUAGUAAUCCCUUGUGUUAAGCUGUUGUUUUAGUGUUCUUUUGAUGAGUUUGGCUUUUUGUUAUGAAAAGUUUUUGUUUUGGCCAGUUUGAACGUUUUUGAGCAUGUGUAAUGGCAUGAAUGCGUUAAGCUGUUGUUUUAGUGUUCUUUUGAUGAGUUUGGCUUGUUGUUAUGAAAAGUUUUGUUUUGGCCAGUUUGAACGUUUUUGAGCAUGUGUAAUGGCAUGAAUGCGUUAAGCUGUUGUUUUAGUGUUCUUUUGAUGAGUUUGGCUUGUUGUUAUGAAAAGUGUUUGUUUUGGUGAGUUUGAACGUUUUUGAGCAUGUGUAAUGGCAUGAAUGCGUUAAGCUGUUGUUUUAGUGUUCUUUUGAUGAGUUUGGCUUGUUGUUAUGAAAAGUUUUUGUUUUGGCCAGUUUGAACGUUUUUGAGCAUGUGUAAUGGCAUGAAUGCGUUAAGCUGUUGUUUUAGUGUUCUUUUGAUGAGUUUGGCUUGUUGUUAUGAACAUUGUUCGUUUUGAUCAGUUUGAAGGUUUUUUAGCAUGUGUAAUGGCAUGAAUAUGUUGAAUUAGUAAUCCCAUGUUAAGCUGUUGUUUUAGUGUUCUUUUGAUGAGUUUGGCUUGUUGUUAUGAAAAGUGUUUGUUUUGGUGAGUUUGAACGUUUUUGAGCAUGUGUAAUGGCAUGAAUGCGUUAAGCUGUUGUUUUAGUGUUCUUUUGAUGAGUUUGGCUUGUUGUUAUGAAAAGUUUUUGUUUUGGCCAGUUUGAACGUUUUUGAGCAUGUGUAAUGGCAUGAAUGCGUUAAGCUGUUGUUUUAGUGUUCUUUUGAUGAGUUUGGCUUGUUGUUAUGAAAAGUUUUUGUUUUGGCCAGUUUGAACGUUUUUGAGCAUGUGUAAUGGCAUGAAUGCGUUAAGCUGUUGUUUUAGUGUUCUUUUGAUGAGUUUGGCUUGUUGUUAUGAAAAGUUUUUGUUUUGGCCAGUUUGAACGUUUUUGAGCAUGUGUAAUGGCAUGAAUGCAUUAAGCUGUUGUUUUAGUGUUCUUUUGAUGAGUUUGGCUUGUUGUUAUGAACAUUGUUCGUUUUGGCAAGUUUGAAGGUUUUUUAGCAUGUGUAAUGGCAUGAAUAUGUUGAAUUAGUAAUCCCUUGUGUAAAGCCGUUGUUUUAGUGUUCUUUUGAUGAGUUUGGCUUGUUGUUAUGAAAAGUGUUUGUUUUGGCGAGUUUGAACGUUUUUGAGCAUGUGUAAUGGCAUGAAUGCGUUAAGCUGUUGUUUUAGUGUUCUUUUGAUGAGUUUGGCUUGUUGUUAUGAAAAGUGUUUGUUUUGGCGAGUUUGAACGUUUUUGAGCAUGUGUAAUGGCAUGAAUGCGUUAAGCUGUUGUUUUAGUGUUCUUUUGAUGAGUUUGGCUUGUUGUUAUGAAAAGUUUUUGUUUUGGUCAGUUUGAACGUUUUUGAGCAUGUGUAAUGGCAUGAAUGCAUUAAGCUGUUGUUUUAGUGUUCUUUUGAUGAGUUUGGCUUGUUGUUAUGAACAUUGUUCGUUUUGGCAGUUUGAAGGUUUUUGAGCAUGUGUAAUGGCAUGAAUUGUUGAAUUAGUAAUCCCUGUGUAAGCUGUUGUUUUAGUGUUCUUUUGAUGAGUUUGGCUUGUUGUUAUGAAAAGUGUUUGUUUUGGUGAGUUUGAACGUUUUUGAGCAUGUGUAAUGGCAUGAAUGCGUUAAGCUGUUGUUUUAGUGUUCUUUUGAUGACUUUGGCUUGUUGUUAUGAACAUUGUUCGUUUUGAUCAGGUUGAAGGUUUUUUAGCAUGUGUAAUGGCAUGAAUAUGUUGAAUUAGUAAUCCCUUGUGUAAAGCCGUUGUUUUAGUGUUCUUUUGAUGAGUUUGGCUUGUUGUUAUGAAACGUGUUUGUUUUGGCGAGUUUGAACGUUUUUGAGCAUGUGUAAUGGCAUGAAUGCGUUAAGCUGUUGUUUUAGUUUUCUUUUGAUGAGUUUGGCUUGUUGUUAUGAAAAGUGUUUCUUUGGGCGAGUUUGAACGUUUUUGAGCAUGUGUAAUGGCAUGAAUGCGUUAAGCUGUUGUUUUAGUGUUCUUUUGAUGAGUUUGGCUUGUUGUUAUGAAAAGAGUUUGUUUUGGCGAGUUUGAACGUUUUUGAGCAUGUGUAAUGGCAUGAAUGUGUUGAAUUAGUAAUCCCUUGUGUAAAGCUGUUGUUUUAGUGUUCUUUUGAUGAGUUUGGCUUGUUGUUAUGAAAAGUUGUUGUUUUGGCGAGUUUGAACGUUUUUGAGCAUGUGUAAUGGCAUGAAUGCGUUAAGCUGUUGUUUUAGUGUUCUUUUGAUGAGUUUGGCUUGUUGUUAUGAAAAGUGUUUGUUUUGGCGAGUUUGAACGUUUUUGAGCAUGUGUAAUGGCAUGAAUGCGUUAAGCUGUUGUUUUAGUGUUCUUUUGAUGAGUUUGGCUUGUUGUUAUGAACAUUGUUCGUUUUGGCCAGUUUGAAGGUUUUUGAGCAUGUGUAAUGGCAUGAAUGUGUUGAAUUAGUAAUCCCAUGUGUAAAGCCGUUGUUUUAGUGUUCUUUUGAUGAGUUUGGCUUGUUGUUAUGAAAAGUGUUUGUUUUGGUGAGUUUGAACGUUUUUGAGCAUGUGUAAUGGCAUGAAUGCGUUAAGCUGUUGUUUUAGUGUUCUUUUGAUGAGUUUGGCUUGUUGUUAUGAAAAGUUUUUGUUUUGGCCAGUUUGAACGUUUUUGAGCAUGUGUAAUGGCAUGAAUGCGUUAAGCUGUUGUUUUAGUGUUCUUUUGAUGAGUUUGGCUUGUUAUGAAAAGUUUUUGUUUUGGCCAGUUUGAACGUUUUUGAGCAUGUGUAAUGGCAUGAAUGCGUUAAGCUGUUGUUUUAGUGUUCUUUUGAUGAGUUUGGCUUGUUAUGAAAAGUUUUUGUUUUGGCCAGUUUGAACGUUUUUGAGCAUAUGUAAUGGCAUGAAUGCAUUAAGAUGUUGUUUUAGUGUUCUUUUGAUGAGUUUGGAUUGUUGUUAUGAACAUUGUUCGUUUUGAUCAGGUUGAAGGUUUUUUAGCAUGUGUAAUGGCAUGAAUAUGUUGAAUUAGUAAUCCCUUGUGUAAAGCCGUUGUUUUAGUGUUCUUUUGAUGAGUUUGGCUUGUUGUUAUGAAAAGUGUUUGUUUUGGCGAGUUUGAACGUUUUUGAGCAUGUGUAAUGGCAUGAAUGUGUUGAAUUAGUAAUCCCUUGUGUUAAGCUGUUGUUUUAGUGUUCUUUUGAUGAGUUUGGCUUGUUGUUAUGAAAAGUGAUUGUUUUGGCGAGUUUGAACGUUUUUGAGCAUGUGUAAUGGCAUGAAUGCGUUAAGCUGUUGUUUUAGUGUUCUUUUGAUGAGUUUGGCUUGUUGUUAUGAAAAGUGUUUGUUUUGGCGAGUUUGAACGUUUUUGAGCAUGUGUAAUGGCAUGAAUGUGUUGAAUUAGUAAUCCCUUGUGUUAAGCUGUUGUUUUAGUGUUCUUUUGAUGAGUUUGGCUUGUUGUUAUGAAAAGUGUUUGUUUUGGCGAGUUUGAACGUUUUUGAGCAUGUGUAAUGGCAUGAAUGCGUUAAGCUGUUGUUUUAGUGUUCUUUUGAUGAGUUUGGCUUGUUGUUAUGAAAAGUGUUUGUUUUGGCAGUUUGAACGUUUUUGAGCAUGUGUAAUGGCAUGAAUGCGUUAAGCUGUUGUUUUAGUGUUCUUUUGAUGAGUUUGGCUUGUUGUUAUGAAAAGUGUUUGUUUUGGCCAGUUUGAACGUUUUUGAGCAUGUGUAAUGGCAUGAAUGCGUUAAGCUGUUGUUUUAGUGUUCUUUUGAUGAGUUUGGCUUGUUGUUAUGAACAUUGUUCGUUUUGGCCAGUUUGAAGGUUUUUGAGCAUGUGUAAUGGCAUGAAUGUGUUGAAUUAGUAAUCCCUUGUGUAAGCUGUUGUUUUAGUGUUCUUUUGAUGAGUUUGGCUUGUUGUUAUGAAAAGUGUUUGUUUUGGCGAGUUUGAACGUUUUUGAGCAUGUGUAAUGGCAUGAAUGCGUUAAGCUGUUGUUUUAGUGUUCUUUUGAUGAGUUUGGCUUGUUGUUUGAACAUUGUUCGUUUUGAUCAGGUUGAAGGUUUUUUAGCAUGUGUAAUGGCAUGAAUAUGUUGAAUUAGUAAUCCCAUGUGUAAAGCCG
rnacentral:lncRNA from 1 species